CGGCCAUCUUGGCUCCUCCGUCAGCUUUACCUUUAAAAACAUUAUGUUUUUAAGUUUGAAGCUAUUUUCGUCUUCUUUCAGAGGCCAAAUAGGUGGUUUCAGCAUUUUGUUGAAAGCAUCUUCCAAAAUUGUAAAUGUAGAAACACAAGAAUGGGCAUUUGGCAAAAGUAGCAUCAAAAAGCAUGUCCCAGAGCGAAAGCCAAGGAGUCUGGCAGACCUGAAGAGGAUUUGGGGAAGAAAAUAAACACUAGCAAUCAGUCCAAUUAGAUGUAGCUGUAAGGAAGAAGAUUUAAAUUGUAUGGCACUUUGUCUUCUUGAUGUUAUAUAAAAACAUACU
rnacentral:lncRNA from 1 species